GGAGUUAGCCGGUGCUUCUUCUGCGAGUAACGUCACAGAUGUAAGGUAUUAACUUACACCCUUUCCUCCUCGCUGAAAGUGCUUUACAACCCGAAGGCCUUCUUCACACACGCGGCAUGGCUGCAUCAGGGUUUCCCCCAUUGUGCAAUAUUCCCCACUGCUGCCUCCCGUAGGAGUCUGGGCCGUGUCUCAGUCCCAGUGUGGCUGAUCAUCCUCUCAGACCAUCUAGGGAUCGUCGCCUAGGUGAGCCUUUACCUCACCUACUAGCUAAUCCCACCUGGGCUUAUCCAUCAGCGCAAGGCCCGAAGGUCCCCUGCUUUCCCCCGUAGGGCGUAUGCGGUAUUAGCAGUCGUUUCCAACUGUUAUCCCCCACAAAUGGGCAAAUUCCCAGGCAUUACUCACCCGUCCGCCGCUCGUCAUCUUCAAAAGCAAGCUUUUGAAAUGUUACCGCUCGACUUGCAUGUGUUAGGCCUGCCGCCAGCGUUCAAUCUGAGCCAUAAUCAAACUCUGA
rnacentral:rRNA from 1 species